rnacentral:lncRNA from 1 species
UUUCCAGCCCCUCCGCUCCUGGUGUACAAACAAUCCCCUAAUCUUAAGCAGCAAACUGAUGAUGAGUCAUCUGAUGAUAAGUCUCAAAGAAACCUGAGAUUUGGGAAAACUUGUUUCUAGUUUUGGAUUUUGUGACUGGGACUAUGUCUCUGUUUCAAGCUGAGUUGGUCCUUUUCUUCAUCUUCUACCAUCACCCAGGAAGAAAAACUCUGGCAUUUCCUACCACUAAGGGCAGAACACCCCCAAAUGGCAAUUUUCCAGCUGUGCAAAGGGAAGAAGUAAGAAGAGUUGAACUGCUGCAGACAACAUGUAUGACAUGGAAGGUGAUGAAGCCAAUGGAAGUUGUCAAGGAAAGAAUGGCAUAUUUAGCACAAUACUAG